rnacentral:rRNA from 1 species
AGAGUUUGAUCAUGGCUCAGAACGAACGCUGGCGGCGUGCUUAACACAUGCAAGUCGAGUGCGCGGUUGUAGCAAUACAACUGGCGCACGGCGCACGGGUGCGUAACACGUGGGCAAUCUGCCCUUCGAUGGGGAAUAACUCCGGGAAACCGAAGCUAAUUCCGCAUAACAUUCCUUGGACCUCGGUUCGAGGACUCAAAGCCGUAAGGCGUCGAAGGAGGAGCCCGCGCACGAUUAGCUAGUUGGUAGGGUAACGGCCUACCAAGGCUUUGAUCGUUAGCUGGUCUGAGAGGAUGGCCAGCCACACUGGAACUGAGACACGGUCCAGACUCCUACGGGAGGCAGCAGUGGGGAAUCUUGCACAAUGGGCGAAAGCCUGAUGCAGCGACGCCGCGUGGGGGAUGAAGCAUUUCGGUGUGUAAACCCCUUUCGACCCGGACGAAUGCCUCGCAAGAGGAGUGACGGUACGGGUAUAAGAAGCCCCGGCUAACUACGUGCCAGCAGCCGCGGUAAGACGUAGGGGGCCAGCGUUGUUCGGAAUUACUGGGUGUAAAGGGUUCGUAGGCGGUGUGGCAAGUUGGGAGUGAAAUCUCUGGGGCUCAACCCAGAGGCUGCUUCCAAAACUGCUGUGCUUGAGUGUGGGAGAGGCGCGUGGAAUUGCAGGUGUAGCGGUGAAAUGCGUAGAUAUCUGCAGGAACACCCGUGGCGAAAGCGGCGCGCUGGACCACAACUGACGCUGAGGAACGAAAGCUAGGGGAGCAAACAGGAUUAGAUACCCUAGUAGUCC